rnacentral:ncRNA from 1 species
CCCGCUGAACUUAAGCAUAUCAAUAAGCGGAGGAAAAGAAACCAACCGGGAUUGCCUUAGUAACGGCGAGUGAAGCGGCAAAAGCUCAAAUUUGAAAUCUGGCACCUUCGGUGUCCGAGUUGUAAUUUGAAGAAGCUACUUUGGGGCUAGUCCUUGUCUAUGUUCCUUGGAACAGGACGUCAUGGAGGGUGAGAAUCCCGUAUGGCGAGGAGUCUAGUCCUAUGUAAAGUGCUUUCGACGAGUCGAGUUGUUUGGGAAUGCAGCUCUAAGUGGGUGGUAAAUUCCAUCUAAAGCUAAAUAUUGGCGAGAGACCGAUAGCGAACAAGUACAGUGAUGGAAAGAUGAAAAGAACUUUGAAAAGAGAGUGAAAAAGUACGUGAAAUUGUUGAAAGGGAAGGGCAUUUGAUCAGACAUGGUGUUUUGCGACCCUCGCUCCUUGUGGGUGGGGAUCUCGCAGCUCACUGGGCCAACAUCAGUUUUGGCGGUAGGAUAAAUCUUUGGGAACGUGGCUUGUCUUCGGAGAAGCGUUAUAGCCCAGGGGAAUACUGCCAGCCGGGACUGAGGACUGCGACUUUUGUCAAGGAUGUUGGCAUAAUGGUUAAAUGCCGCCCGUCUUGAAACACGG